rnacentral:rRNA from 1 species
UACGUAGGUGGCAAGCGUUGUCCGGAAUUAUUGGGCGUAAAGCGCGCGCAGGCGGCCUCUUAAGUCUGAUGUGAAAGCCCCCGGCUCAACCGGGGAGGGCCAUUGGAAACUGGGAGGCUUGAGUAUAGGAGAGAAGAGUGGAAUUCCGACGUGUAGCGGGUGAAAUGCGUAGAGAUGUGGAGGAACACCAGUGGCGAAGGCGACUCUUUGGCCUAUAACUGACGCUGGACGGCGACGAAAGCGUUGGGGAGCA